rnacentral:rRNA from 1 species
GAUGAACGCUGGCGGCGUGCCUAAUACAUGCAAGUCGAGCGAACAGACGAGGAGCUUGCUCCUCUGACGUUAGCGGCGGACGGGUGAGUAACACGUGGAUAACCUACCUAUAAGACUGGGAUAACUUCGGGAAACCGGAGCUAAUACCGGAUAAUAUAUUGAACCGCAUGGUUCAAUAGUGAAAGACGGUUUUGCUGUCACUUAUAGAUGGAUCCGCGCCGCAUUAGCUAGUUGGUAAGGUAACGGCUUACCAAGGGAACGAUGCGUAGCCGACGUGAGAGGGGGAUCGGCCACACUGGAACUGGGACACGGUCCAGACUCCUACGGGAGGCAGCAGUAGGGAAUCUUCGGCAAUGGGCGAAAGCCUGACGGAGCAACGCCGCGUGAGUGAUGAAGGUCUUCGGAUCGUAAAACUCUGUUAUUAGGGAAGAACAAAUGUGUAAGUAACUAUGCACGUCUUGACGGUACCUAAUCAGAAAGCCACGGCUAACUACGUG